rnacentral:tRNA from 1 species
AAUAAGAUGCCUGAUUAAAGGGCUAUUUUGAUAGAAUAGAUUAUGUAAUUUUAUUACUCUUAUUA